rnacentral:rRNA from 1 species
GAGUUUGAUCAUGGCUCAGAUUGAACGCUGGCGGCAGGCUUAACACAUGCAAGUCGAGCGGAGUGAUGGUGCUUGCACUAUCACUUAGCGGCGGACGGGUGAGUAAUGCUUAGGAAUCUGCCAUUUAGUGGGGGACAACAUUCCGAAAGGAAUGCUAAUACCGCAUACGUCCUACGGGAGAAAGCAGGGGAUCUUCGGACCUUGCGCUAAAUGAUGAGCCUAAGUCGGAUUAGCUAGUUGGUGGGGUAAAGGCCUACCAAGGCGACGAUCUGUAGCGGGUCUGAGAGGAUGAUCCGCCACACUGGGACUGAGACACGGCCCAGACUCCUACGGGAGGCAGCAGUGGGGAAUAUUGGACAAUGGGCGGAAGCCUGAUCCAGCCAUGCCGCGUGUGUGAAGAAGGCCUUUUGGUUGUAAAGCACUUUAAGCGAGGAGGAGGCUACUAGUACUAAUACUACUGGAUAGUGGACGUUACUCGCAGAAUAAGCACCGGCUAACUCUGUGCCAGCAGCCGCGGUAAUACAGAGGGUGCGAGCGUUAAUCGGAUUUACUGGGCGUAAAGCGUGCGUAGGCGGCUUUUUAAGUCGGAUGUGAAAUCCCCGAGCUUAANUUGGGAAUUGCAUUCNAUACUGGGAAGCUAGAGUAUGGGAGAGGAUGGUAGAAUUCCAGGUGUAGCGGUGAAAUGCGUAGAGAUCUGGAGGAAUACCGAUGGCGAAGGCAGCCAUCUGGCCUAAUACUGACGCUGAGGUACGAAAGCAUGGGGAGCAAACAGGAUUAGAUACCCUGGUAGUCCAUGCCGUAAACGAUGUCUACUAGCCGUUGGGGCCUUUGAGGCUUUAGUGGCGCAGCUAACGCGAUAAGUAGACCGCCUGGGGAGUACGGUCGCAAGACUAAAACUCAAAUGAAUUGACGGGGGCCCGCACAAGCGGUGGAGCAUGUGGUUUAAUUCGAUGCAACGCGAAGAACCUUACCUGGUCCUGACAUAGUAAGAACUUUCCAGAGAUGGAUUGGUGCCUUCGGGAACUUACAUACAGGUGCUGCAUGGCUGUCGUCAGCUCGUGUCGUGAGAUGUUGGGUUAAGUCCCGCAACGAGCGCAACCCUUUUCCUUAUUUGCCAGCGGGUUAAGCCGGGAACUUUAAGGAUACUGCCAGUGACAAACUGGAGGAAGGCGGGGACGACGUCAAGUCAUCAUGGCCCUUACGACCAGGGCUACACACGUGCUACAAUGGUCGGUACAAAGGGUUGCUACCUAGCGAUAGGAUGCUAAUCUCAAAAAGCCGAUCGUAGUCCGGAUUGGAGUCUGCAACUCGACUCCAUGAAGUCGGAAUCGCUAGUAACCGCGGAUCAGAAUGCCGCGGUGAAUACGUUCCCGGGCCUUGUACACACCGCCCGUCACACCAUGGGAGUUUGUUGCACCAGAAGUAGGUAGUCUAACCGUAAGGAGGACGCUUACCACGGUGUGGCCGAUGACUGGGGUGAAGUCGU